rnacentral:rRNA from 1 species
AGAGUUUGAUCCUGGCUCAGGAUGAACGCUAGCGACAGGCCUAACACAUGCAAGUCGAGGGGCAACAUGGUAUCAGCUUGCUGAUACUGAUGGCGACCGGCGCACGGGUGAGUAACGCGUAUGUAAUCUACCUGUAACAGAGGGAUAACCCGGAGAAAUCCGGACUAAUACCUCAUAGCACAUAUUAUUCGCAUGAAUUUUAUGUUAAAGAGACUCGGUUACAGAUGAACAUGCGUUCCAUUAGCUAGUUGGCGGGGUUACGGCCCACCAAGGCAACGAUGGAUAGGGGUUCUGAGAGGAAGGUCCCCCACACUGGUACUGAGACACGGACCAGACUCCUACGGGAGGCAGCAGUGAGGAAUAUUGGUCAAUGGGCGAAAGCCUGAACCAGCCAAGUCGCGUGGAGGAAGACGGCCCUACGGGUUGUAAACUCCUUUUACCUGGGAAUAACGGGCGCUACGUGUAGCGCUGUGCAAGUACCGGGAGAAUAAGCAUCGGCUAAUUCCGUGCCAGCAGCCGCGGUAAUACGGAAGAUGCGAGCGUUAUCCGGAUUUAUUGGGUUUAAAGGGUGCGUAGGCGGAAGAAUAAGUCAGCGGUGAAAUGCUUCAGCUCAACUGGAGAAUUGCCGAUGAAACUGUUUUUCUAGAGUAUAAAAGAGGUAUGCGGAAUGCGUGGUGUAGCGGUGAAAUGCAUAGAUAUCACGCAGAACCCCGAUUGCGAAGGCAGCAUACUGGGCUAUAACUGACGCUGAAGCACGAAAGCGUGGGUAUCGAACAGGAUUAGAUACCCUGGUAGUCCACGCCGUAAACGAUGAAUACUAACUGUUUGCGAUAUAAUGUAAGCGGUACAGCGAAAGCGUUAAGUAUUCCACCUGGGGAGUACGCCGGCAACGGUGAAACUCAA